GAGGAUAUAGCUCAGUGGUAGAGCUUGUGCUUAGCAUACACAAGGUCCUGGGUUCAAUCCCCAGUACCUCCA
rfam:Camelus ferus unplaced genomic scaffold scaffold379, whole genome shotgun sequence.